UACGGAGGAUGCGAGCGUUAUCCGGAUUUAUUGGGUUUAAAGGGUGCGUAGGCGGGCUUUUAAGUCAGCGGUAAAAAUUCGGGGCUCAGCCCCGUCCGGCCGUUGAAACUGGGGGUCUUGAGUGGGCGAGAAGAAGGCGGAAUGCGUGGUGUAGCGGUGAAAUGCAUAGAUAUCACGCAGAACCCCGAUUGCGAAGGCAGCCUUCCGGCGCCCUACUGACGCUGAGGCACGAAAGUGCGGGGAUCGAACAGG
rnacentral:rRNA from 1 species